CUGUAUGGGGUCUGUAUGGGGGAAACCCUAAAAGCACGGCUGUAUGGGGUCUGUAUGGGGUCUGUAUGGGGGAAAUCCUAAAAGCACGGCUGUAUGGGGUCUGUAUGGGGUCUGUAUGGGGGAAACCCUAAAAGCACGGCUGUAUGGGGUCUGUAUGGGGGAAUAAAGAUCGCUGCAACAGGA